UUGGAGGGCAAGUCUGGUGCCAGCAGCCGCGGUAAUUCCAGCUCCAAUAGCGUAUAUUAAAGUUGUUGCAGUUAAAAAGCUCGUAGUUGAAUUUCGGAAUUUUUUUAUCGGUUGAAUCAACAGGUUCGUACUGAUUUUAAGAAUUUCUACCUUCUGGAGAACCUUAAUGUCAUUAAUUUGGUGUUUUGGGAAACCAGGACUGUUGCCUUGAAAAAAUUAGAGUGUUUAAAGCAGGCUUAUGUCUGAAUAUAUUAGCAUGGAAUAAUGAAAUAGGACGGCAUGGUUCUAUUUUGUUGGUUUCUAGGAUCACCGUAAUGAUUAAUAGGGAUAGUUGGGGGCAUUAGUAUUCAAUUGUCAGAGGUGAAAUUCUUGGAUUUAUUGAAGACUAACUUCUGCGAAAGCAUUUGCCAAGGAUGUUUUCAUUAAUCAAGAACGAAAGUUAGGGGAUCGAAGACGAUCAGAUACCGUCGUAGUCUUAACCAUAAACUAUGCCGACUAGGAAUCGGACGAAGUUAAUUUUUUAAUGACUCGUUCGGCGCCUUACGGGAAAC
rnacentral:rRNA from 1 species